UACCGUCCACAUUGCAUUUCCAGACCCCAGGUGAUGGAGUUUCUCACAGUAGGGACCUUGACUUGGUGCACGAGAGUUGUACCUUGCCUAUGUCUCUAACUUAAUGUGCCUAUCUCUGUUCCUACAAAAACUUCCUCACUAGAAAGAUGGAGGUAUAAUCGCCAAACAUCCUUCAAGUCCAUAGAAAUUCAUUCCUUUCAAGUGAGAGGCACCAUAAGCAGCAAACUAUCUCCGUUAACUCUCGUUUUGCCAUUGUUUUAGCUUGAUGUUCCAUCCAUUUGAAUACGUCAAUGGUCUGUCUUGCCUGGAAAUAUAUAUCCAAUUUUCUCCUUGUCACAUCUAGGGCACAAGUUCAUAAUUCCAAUCCCUUUCUCCUGCAGUUUAGAUUUUACUAGGGGGAUAUUAUUCAGCAAU
rnacentral:lncRNA from 1 species